UCUCCUGGAAAACGGGUGGUAAUGCCGGAUGUUCCACAUGAUCGCAUGUGAUUGUGGGAAAGAUUCUAUCGGCGUGGGAUGGGGUCGCGUCCUAUCAGCUUGUUGGUGAGGUAACGGCUCACCAAGGCUUCGACGGGUAGCCGGCCUGAGAGGGCGACCGGCCACAUUGGGACUGAGAUACGGCCCAGACUCCUACGGGAGGCAGCAGUGGGGAAUAUUGCACAAUGGGCGCAAGCCUGAUGCAGCGACGCCGCGUGAGGGAUGGAGGCCUUCGGGUUGUAAACCUCUUUUGUUUGGGAGCAAGCCUUCGGGUGAGUGUACCUUUCGAAUAAGCGCCGGCUAACUACGUGCCAGCAGCCGCGGUAAUACGUAGGGCGCAAGCGUUAUCCGGAUUUAUUGGGCGUAAAGGGCUCGUAGGCGGCUCGUCGCGUCCGGUGUGAAAGUCCAUCGCUUAACGGUGGAUCUGCGCCGGGUACGGGCGGGCUGGAGUGCGGUAGGGGAGACUGGAAUUCCCGGUGUAACGGUGGAAUGUGUAGAUAUCGGAAAAGAACA
rnacentral:rRNA from 1 species